rnacentral:lncRNA from 1 species
UGUGACAAAUCUCAGUCAUCUCUAGAGAGAGCAGGUUCUUGUCAAGGAAAGGAGUGGAGGAGACCGAAUGCCAACAGCCAGAAGAUCUYUAGAGGGAACAGCAAGUCUUUCUGUCAAGAAAACCCCUUUCUCUGUGGACUGUUGGAGGACAAGAAUAAGACAGGCCCCGUUCCACGCACCCCACAGUAAGAGAGAUGAACCAACUGGUUGGUAAGAACCAGCUGAAGAGUGCUCAGAGAAGAGUGGUGAGAAACAAAGAGAUGUGGAAAUUUCCCAUGAAGAGAUUUGUAUAGCAUUGUGGUUGCUUAGAUGUGAGAAGAUUGUGGAGGGGGCACUGCAGCAGUGUUCAAGCAAAAAUAUUGUCUAAGUCCAUUAUGAAUAAAUUGUGAAGAAAAUUACA